rnacentral:sRNA from 1 species
CCUCGGGCUCACGCCCGAGGCUACAAUAUGUCGUCCCUCCGGGACU